GAUGAACGCUGGCGGCGUGCUUAACACAUGCAAGUCGAACGGAAAGGCUCCUGCUUGCCGGGGUACUCGAGUGGCGAACGGGUGAGUAACACGUGGGUGAUCUGCCCUGCACUUCGGGAUAAGCCUGGGAAACUGGGGCUAAUACCGGAUAGGACCACAUUUUGGAUGGUGUGGUGGAAAGUUUUGCGGUGUGGGAGGAGCUCGCGGCCUAUCAGCUUGUUGGUGGGGUAAUGGCCUACCAAGGCGUCGACGGGUAGCCGGCCUGAGAGGGUGUACGGCCACAUUGGAACUGAGAUGCGGGCCAGAGUCCGACGUGAGGCAGCAGGGGGGAAUAUUGGACGAUGGGCGCAAGCCUGAGGGAGCGACGCCGCGUGGGGGAUGACGGCUGUCGGGUUGUAAACUCCUAUCGCUAGGGACGAGGCGUUUUUGUGACGGUACCUGGAGAAGAAGCACCGGCUAACUACGUG
rnacentral:rRNA from 1 species